rfam:Oryza glumipatula chromosome 4, whole genome shotgun sequence.
AAAAAGACAAAUCAUGGGUUUCUAUGUCCAAAGUUUGACUGUCCGUCUUAUAUAUUUUUUUUAUAAUUAGUAUUUUAAUUGUUGUUAGAUGAUAAAACAUGAUUAAUAUUUUAUGCGCGAUUUGUCUUUUUAUUUUUUUCAUAAUUUUUUAAAAUAAGACGUCAAACGUUGGAUACGGAAACCUAGGGUUUGUCUUUUU